GCCUGGGUGGCUCAGUUGGUUGAGCAUUGGACUUUUGAUCCCAGGGUCAUGGGAUCAAGCCCCAUGUCAGGUU